UACGGAGGGAGCUAGCGUUGUUCGGAAUUACUGGGCGUAAAGCGCACGUAGGCGGCUUUGUAAGUUAGAGGUGAAAGCCCGGGGCUCAACCCCGGAAUUGCCUUUAAGACUGCAUCGCUUGAAUCCAGGAGAGGUGAGUGGAAUUCCGAGUGUAGAGGUGAAAUUCGUAGAUAUUAGGAAGAACACCGGUGGCGAAGGCGGCCCACUGGUCCGGUACUGACGCUGAGGUGCGAAAGCGUGGGGAGCAAACAGG
rnacentral:rRNA from 1 species